CCUUUCCCUUAAAAUCAAAACGAAUUAUAAAUAUUGGUAUGGUAACUGUUCGAUUGUAAAGGGUGUACAUUUUCGAAAACUGUCAACACUCACUGGCACAAAAUGGUUUCUUCUCGCGAAGGCGACCAUCCCGAUCGCAGCAAUUCUGUAUGUAUAUUAAGGAGAUUCGGAAGGAUAAUGACUGCUACCUGAUGCUCAACUGAUUUUAAAGUCGAGUCCUUAAGGGCGGGUUCGUCACCAGCUGAUUUUUCGCAGCUGCAAAAAAAUGAUGUUACCGUUCAUUAACUCGUAAAUGCAACAUCCUUACCGAUGCUGGCAAUCGAUGUAUAGUGUGACCAUAUAUACAUGAUUUUGAGCCUCAAAAAUAUUUUAUUUAUCAUAAAAGAAACGGAUUUUCAAAAACAUA
rnacentral:sRNA from 1 species